GUGGGCAGUUAAAAUCCUUGCAAAUUUUUGCAAGCUUGACAGCAGAAAGAGAUGGUGAAAUUAGAAAAGCUGCUUUGAAUACUCUUGCCACUGGAUAUAAGAUUCUUGGUGAGGAUAUAUUGAGGUAUGUUGGGAAGCUAACAGAUGCUCAGAAAAGCAUGCUGGAUGAUAGGUUUAAAUGUAAGGUUCGAGAGAUGGAAAAAAGGAAGGAAGGGAAGCCUGGCGAAGCCAGAGCUGCUUUGAGACGUUCUGUGAGGGAAAUUGGAUUGGAUGUAGCAGAGCAAAGUGGAGAGGUUACACGAUCUUUCUCUGGCCCAGUACUUCCAAGGAAAAACUAUGGGAAUGCUGACAUACAUGUGGA